rnacentral:piRNA from 1 species
GUAGUCCUGGAUGUCCAAGAGCA